AAAAACUAUUGAAUACUAUCCUGCAGCG
rnacentral:piRNA from 1 species